rnacentral:rRNA from 1 species
AUUGAACGCUGGCGGCAGGCUUAACACAUGCAAGUCGAGCGAGCGGCGGACGGGUGAGUAAUGUAUGGGGAUAUGCCUGAUGGAGGGGGAUAACUACUGGAAAAGGUAGCUAAUACCGCAUACCAUCAGAUGAGCCCAUAUGGGAUUAGCUUGUAGGUAAGGUAACGGCUCACCUAGGCGACGAUCCCUAGCUGGUCUGAGAGGAUUAUCAUCCACACUCGGACUGAGACACGGCCCAGACUCCUACGGGAGGCAGCAGUGGGGAAUAUUGCACAAUGGGCGCAAGCCUGAUGCAGCCAUGCCGCGUGUAUGAAGAAGGCCUUCGGGUUGUAAAGUACUUUCAGUCGGGAGGCGUUACCGACAGAAGAAGCACCGGCUAACUCCGUGCCAGCAGCCGCGGUAAUAC